GUAAAAGUCCUUUGAACUGUGAACAGCUGCCAGAGGCUUAAUGAAGAUAACGUGACUGUUUUUGUCAAUAUGAACAUAGUGAAAUGACAUAGGACCCAGUAACACACAGUAACACACACUAACACACACACACACACACUAACACACACACACUGACACAAAAACUAACACUAACACACAGACUCUAACACACACACUCUAACACUAACACACACACUAACAUACACACACACUAAGACACAAUAACACACACACAAUCACACACACAAUUUAACACUAACACACACACACACUAACACACGCACACACACUCUAACACUAACACACACACUCUAACACACACACUCUAACACACAC